rnacentral:ncRNA from 1 species
GAGAUAGAGGUUGCGUGCUUCAAGAGUAACUGUCAGGAUGCGGCGGACGCAGAUGAGUUUCAGUGAAAGGGAAGAACGCCGAAAGAAAGGAGUUCCGUGCUCUUUGUCUUGGGCAUACAGUGAAGAAUUGUAUGACUGUCAUCCGUAUGUUCGGAUGGUGCGCUAUCCG